CCGGGAGGCUGGUAGUUCGCCAAGACAGGUUUCUGUUUCGCCCCGCGAGCACGUGUCCCGCAGGAGGAUGAGUGACCCACAGCCCACCAAGUGACCGCGCGAAGCUGCACGCUGAAUGAUUCCUCCAUGGAAAACGCGUUAGUCUCCGCCCUGCCAGAGGCACAGGCCAACAUUGUGAAGCCCAGAGGGCCUGUUGCCUGGUGCUGAGUGGGAGCUCGGUAAAUACUUGUGGAGUUCAUGAAUGAAAAUCGAAGCAGUCCGCCAGCCUCUCCACUUCUCAGUCCUUCCUGGAAUUAAACAAAUAUUCAUAGAGCGCUUUCUUGUGUGCCAGACAACCUUCUAACAACGUCAGAGGCAAAUGCUGAUACCAGGUAAUAAAACAGAGAAGAGGGAGCCGUAUCUCUAGGUGACUCUGAGAGCAGGUCCAAGCACACGCCGUGAACCACUGUGACCAGCCAUGGAGGGAAGGACAGCAUUCCAGACAAAGGGAACAGUGGUGCCAGAUUCCACCUUAGCCAAAGAAAAGGAAGCUGGUAGCUGCAUUGGUGAGAAGGCCAAAUCAAGCAAAUACUUCACUCCCCUUCCUGGUUCUACAUAUUUGACACAUGCUCUAGAAGGCACAGGCAAAAACCCAGCUUUCCAAGGUAGAUAAAGACACCAAUGAGACUGCCUGUUUUUGGCCAGGCAGGUGAGAAAAACAUGUGGAGGAUUUCACCAUGCCCACCAGCGACCUGCAUCUGACUGUCCCUAGGGCCCCUGUCCUGGGGCACCCACAGCAAAGAUGCUGCCACUUUGCUCUCUUGCACUCUCUUCAUGGUAACAGGGGCAUGAUUCUUUGACCUAUGGGUUAGCAGUUAAGUUGGAGUGCGCCUUUGAAAUGCACCAAAAAGGAGAAGCUGAGAAGCAGCAUGCAAAGGGGGAGAGGCCACCAGCAGCAGCAGGCCCAUUCUAGCUCUACUGGUGAGUUGUGAGAAGGGAAUGGGAAUGGCCUGGGGUCCCAGAGCACAGAACCAAGGCCUGUGGGUGUCACAUGGAGGCAGAGGCUGCUGGACAUGAGGAAGGCAUCCUUUCAUAUAGAGGGAGCUAUCUCUGAGGGCUCCUCAUUCCUUGGAGACCUUAAGUGAUGUUUUAAGUCUUCUGCUGUUGCUGUAACUGAAUGCCAUAAGCUAGGUAAUUUCUAGAGAAUAAAACUUUAUUAGGCGUGCA